CCUACGGGAGGCAGCAGUGGGGGAUAUUGCACAAUGGGGGAAACCCUGAUGCAGCGACGCCGCGUGUGGGAAGACGGUCUUCUGGAUUGUAAACCACUGUCCCCAGGGACGAAAAUGACGGUACCUGGGGAGGAAGCUCCGGCUAACUACGUGCCAGCAGCCGCGGUAAUACGUAGGGAGCAAGCGUUGUCCGGAAUUACUGGGUGUAAAGGGAGCGUAGGCGGGGAUGCAAGUUGGGUGUCAAAACUACCGGCUCAACCGAUAGUCGCACUCAAAACUGCAACUCUUGAGUGAAGUAGAGGCAGGCGCAAUUCCUAGUGUAGCGGUGAAAUGCGUAGAUAUUAGGAGGAACACCAGUGGCGAAGGCGGCCUGCUGGGCUUUUACUGACGCUGAGGCUCGAAAGUGUGGGGAGCAAACAGGAUUGGAUACCCGGGUAGUC
rnacentral:rRNA from 1 species